rnacentral:rRNA from 1 species
ACGCACGCUGGCGGCGUGCUUAACACAUGCCAGUCGAACGGAAAGGCCCUGCUUUUGUGGGGUGCUCGAGUGGCGAACGGGUGAGUAACACGUGAGUAACCUGCCCUUGACUUUGGGAUAACUUCAGGAAACUGGGGCUAAUACCGGAUAGGAGCUCCUGCUGCAUGGUGGGGGUUGGAAAGUUUCGGCGGUUGGGGAUGGACUCGCGGCUUAUCAACUUGUUGGUGGGGUAGUGGCUUACCAAGGCUUUGACGGGUAGCCGGCCUGAGAGGGUGACCGGCCACAUUGGGACUGAGAUACGGCCCAGACUCCUACGGGAGGCAGCAGUGGGGAAUAUUGCACAAUGGGCGGAAGCCUGAUGCAGCAACGCCGCGUGCGGGAUGACGGCCUUCGGGCUGUAAACCGCUUUCGCCUGUGACGAAGCGUGAGUGACGGUAAUGGGUAAAGAAGCACCGGCUAACUACGUG